GCCAGUGGUGAACUCCACAUCCGCAUCCUUUGCUGAGGAUACGGUUAACGGAGCGAAAGCGACGUUCAACCGCAAAACAAGCAGAGGGGGCUUAGUGGUGGGGUGACUGCGUACCUUUUGUAUAAUGGGUCAGCGACUUAUAUUCUGUAGCAAGGUUAACCGAAUAGGGGAGCCGGAGGGAAACCGAGUCUUAAUUGGGCGUUAAGUUGCAGGGUAUAGACCCGAAACCCGGUGAUCUAGCCAUGGGCAGGUUGAAGGUUGGGUAACACUAACUGGAGGACCGAACCGACUAAUGUUGAAAAAUUAGCGGAUGACCUGUGGCUGGGGGUGAAAGGCCAAUCAAACCGGGAGAUAGCUGGUUCUCCCCGAAAGCUAUUUAGGUAGCGCCUCGUGAAUUCAUCUCCGGGGGUAGAGCACUGUUUCGGCUAGGGGGCCAUCCCGGCUUACCAACCCGAUGCAAACUGCGAAUACCGGAGAAUGUUAUCACGGGAGACACACGGCGGGUGCUAACGUCCGUCGUGAAGAGGGAAACAACCCAGACCGCCAGCUAAGGUCCCAAAGUCAUGGUUAAGUGGGAAACGAUGUGGGAAGGCCCAGACAGCCAGGAUGUUGGCUUAGAAGCAGCCAUCAUUUAAAGAAAGCGUAAUAGCUCACUGGUCGAGUCGGCCUGCGCGGAAGAUGUAACGGGGCUAAACCAUGCACCGAAGCUGCGGCAGCGAACGUAUCACCCAAGACAACUUUACGGAGUUGACGAUUGACGGAGCGAAGCGACGUCAAAGCGUUCAUUAAAGUCGAGUUGGCUUAGGGAUACGUUCGUUGGGUAGGGGAGCGUUCUGUAAGCCUGUGAAGGUGUGUCGUGAGGCAUGCUGGAGGUAUCAGAAGUGCGAAUGCUGACAUAAGUAACGAUAAAGCGGGUGAAAAGCCCGCUCGCCGGAAGACCAAGGGUUCCUGUCCAACGUUAAUCGGGGCAGGGUGAGUCGACCCCUAAGGCGAGGCCGAAAGGCGUAGUCGAUGGGAAACGGGUUAAUAUUCCCGUACUUGGUGUUACUGCGAAGGGGGGACGGAGAAGGCUAUGUUGGCCGGGCGACGGUUGUCCCGGUUUAAGCGUGUAGGUGUGUGUUCCAGGUAAAUCCGGUU
rnacentral:rRNA from 1 species